rnacentral:rRNA from 1 species
AUGGUUGUUGUGUGGGUGUUGCUUGCUGCCGGAAUGUUGGUGGUGGUGGUGCGGCCGGUUGGGGUCGACGGUGGUUUCUGUUGCUGUUGUCCUGCUUCCUUUGUGUUCGUCUUCGUUGGUGUUCCCUGGUGUCGGCCAUGUUGCUGUGCAUGUUCAAGUACCUCCCUUGGUGGCCAUUGUGUUGCGGUGAGCUUAGUGCUCUUGGUGUUGUUCUGGUUCAUCUUUGCUCUUCGACGGCGCAAGAUGCCUCCCCAACUUGCUAAUCGUUUCGAAUUCUCAUGGCGGAGCUCCCAGUCAAGGUUCGUGUUAUCACUCGUUGGUUGUGGUUGCUCCUGA